GGGCCAGUCCAGGUUUCGACAGGGAUUAUGAAGUCGGAGAAGCUAUCCGCAGGCGAUGCGUCAAAUCGCAAACCUAAAAUAAACGCUAAGAAUAAUAUCGUAGCGUUUCGUGCACCGGUUGCUCAGGCAGCCUAAGCGCGAAACCGUCGCCUAAAGUGCGACAUGUCCGCCUUGAUACACCUGCAUAUUAAGAUACGGGCAUCAUCAAAUGCAGGAAACGACAUCGGCUAAGCUUUGCGUCGAUGGGCGUAUUAUGAAGCUACCGAUCCCAUAGGGCUGUCGUUGUCCCUAUGAGUGAGGGAACGGGUGCAAACCGCAUCAGCGACUAUGAUAGUAGAAGUACGAGGGAUUGAUUUUUGGACACGGGUUCGAUUCCCGUCUGGUCCACUA
rnacentral:tmRNA from 1 species